UAUAUAUUACGUACAUAACCUAAAGUUUCAGUUAUACCUAAUGAAAAUAAAGAAGACGAAGAAAGGAAUAAAAAAUUCAACAAUAUCUACUAGAAGAGGAAAAAAGGAUGAAUAUAUUGAACAAAAAAAUUUUGGAGACAUUGGUUAAUAGUAAGAAGAAUGACGAUUGACAGAAUCAUAUAUAUUUAUAUAUAUAUAUAUAUGAUUCUAAAGUCCAUGCUUUUAAUAAUUAGGAAAUAAUGAGGUUUAAAAAGCCGAUGAUAUUGAAAGGAGUGAUAGUGAUAUGAGUCAAAAAGAAUAGAAGAAAUCAUGAAUGAAGAAGCUAAAGGAAACAUAUCUAGAAUUUUUGUUGUAUUUAAAAGAAAAUGAUCAAAUUCUAUUAGAUUUAUCUGAUUUAUCCAAUAGUAAUAAUGAAUCUGAUGGUGAAUUACAUCAUAAAUUUAAUGAUAAGUUAGAAGUAUAAAAAUAUUAUAUAUGUUUAAAAUACUAAUACAAAAAAAGAAUAUGUUUUAAUAAUAUACAUUUAUAAUUUAUUCGUUAUAAAAUCAUAGAUUGCUAGCGAUGAAAAUGAUUUUGACUCUGAAGAUACUAGUGGUAUAACAUCUCAUGAUCUGGAAUAAGAGUUACGCUAUAAUUAAUAACAGUUUGGUAGAAUAAUAUUCAAAUUGACAAAUAAUGUUUUCAUAUAUUUUUAAUUAUCAAAAUAACUAUGUAUUAUCAAUAUAUUAUAGUUUAUUUAUAAUCUUAUUUGUUUAGAACAUUCAAAAUUGCACUCGAAAUUCCUUAUGCUAUGUCGCAAACCGUAUCGGAAACGCAAGAUAAAAGUGCUACAAAAUUUAAAAAAGAAGAAAAUUAGAAAGUAUUUUUCAACAACUGUCAUGUCGCACUUUAUUGUAAGAAAGUAAAGUAAUUAAUAGAAAAAAAAAAUAGAAGAAAAUUCAAAACAUAUAGAAAGUGAAAGAGCUAAGGAUAUAUUCGAUUUGAAAAAUAUGAUAGAAAUCGAAAAUUGUAAAAAAUAGAAUGAGAAUUCAGGGUACAGCUUCAGGGAAAUUUUAUAAUUCCUUGAUUAAAAUUCAUCAAGCUCAGAAACUUAAAGAUAUAACGAAAAAUGAUAAAAUUAGUGAAUAAAAUUUAGCAAGUUUAAGGGAACCAAGAAGGAAGAAGUUAAAUAAAAAAGGUAUAGUAACUUUGAGUUACAAAUAAAAGGAAUAGAAUAAGAGAAAGCAAAGGAUAUAUUUCUAAAGAGAUCUAAUAAAAAUCAAAAAUAAAAGUGAUAAAUCAGAAAGUAUCUGAAAUAGACGACGCACAGAAAAUACAGAUAUUGUUACGAAUAUUAAU